GCGAAAGUGGCGGAAUCGGUAGACGCGCCAGCCUUAGGAGCUGGUGGCCAUUUGGCCGUGGGGGUUCGAGUCCCCCCUUUCGCA
rnacentral:tRNA from 1 species